rnacentral:rRNA from 1 species
CCUACGGGGGGCAGCAGUGAGGAAUAUUGGUCAAUGGGCGCUAGCCUGAUCCAGCCAAGUAGCGUGAAGGAUGACUGCCCUACGGGUUGUAAACUUCUUUUAUAAGGGAAUAAAGUGCGGCACGUAUACCUUUUUGUAUGUACUUUAUGAAUAAGAAUCGGCUAACUCCGUGCCAGCAGCCGCGGUAAUACGGAGGAUCCGAGCGUUAUCCGGAUUUAUUGGGUUUAAAGGGAUCGUAGGUGGGUUGUUAAGUCAGUUGUGAAAGUUUGCGGCUCAACCGUAAAAUUGCAAUUGAUACUGGCAGUCUGGAGUACAGUAGAGGUAGGCGGAAUUCGUGGUGUAGCGGUGAAAUGCUUAGAUAUCACGAAGAACUCCGAUUGCGAAGGCAGCUUACUAAACUGCAACUGACAUUGAUGCUCGAAAGUGUGGGUAUCAAACAGGACUAGAUACCCCUGUAGUC